UCUGCCACGAUAGACGCGUUGCAGGUGUGGCCACUAUGUCACAUGUAUGUCAGUAGGUGUCACAGAGGACAAGGCUGUGCCUAUGCUGAGUGUUCUGACCAACACCUGAAUAAAUAGUAGCCUAAUAUU